rnacentral:rRNA from 1 species
UACAGAGGGCUCAAGCGUUGUUCGGAUUCAUUGGGCGUAAAGGGUGCGUAGGCGGCGCGGUAAGUCGGGUGUGAAAUCUCGGGGCUUAACUCCGAAACUGCAUUCGAUACUGCCGUGCUUGAGGACUGGAAAGGAGACUGGAAUUUACGGUGUAGCGGUGAAAUGCGUAGAUAUCGUAAGGAAGACCAGUGGCGAAGGCGGGUCUCUGGACAGUUCCUGACGCUGAGGCACGAAGGUCAGGGGAGCAAACGGG